CAACAGCUAGGGUUUAGUGCGCGAUGGCGGGACUGGGUGGCUCGCCUGCUCGUCUCGGCUUCUUCAGCGGUCUCUCUCAACGGUUCGGUUGGCCCAAGCAUCCUUCAUCACUGUGGGUUAUGCCAGGGAGACCCGCUCUCCCCCUUCCUCUUCAUUUUGGCAAUCGACCCACUGCACCACCUCAUCACGACGGCGGUAGAUCAGCAGCUGUUACAUCGCCUCUCCAGGCCGCGACCCGGCGCUUCGUGUAAGCCUAUAUGCCGACGACGCAGUUAUCUUCAUAAACCCUAG
rnacentral:rRNA from 1 species